UCUCAGGGGGAAUUGCUCAGUUUACGGCGAGUGAGCGGCAAAAGCUCAAAUUUGAAAUCUAGCACUUUCAGUGUUCGAGUUGUAAUUUGAAGAAGGUAACUUUGGUUUUGGCUCUUGUCUAUGUUCCUUGGAACAGGACGUCACAGAGGGUGAGAAUCCCGUGCGAUGAGAUGCCCAAUUCCAUGUAAAGUGCUUUCGAAGAGUCGAGUUGUUUGGGAAUGCAGCUCUAAGUGGGUGGUAAAUUCCAUCUAAAGCUAAAUAUUGGCGAGAGACCGAUAGCGAACAAGUACAGUGAUGGAAAGAUGAAAAGAACUUUGAAAAGAGAGUGAAAAAGUACGUGAAAUUGUUGAAAGGGAAGGGCUUGAGAUCAGACUUGGUAUUUUGCGUUCCCUUCCUUUUUGGUUGGGUUCCUCGCAGUUUACUGGGCCAGCAUCGGUUUGGAUGGUAGGAUAAUGACAUUGGAAUGUAGCUUUACUUCGGUGAAGUGUUAUAGACUUUGUUGAUACUGCCUAUCUAGACCGAGGACUGCGUCUUUGACUAGGAUGCUGGCGUAAUGAUCUUAAGCCGCCCGUCUGAACACCGGAACCAAAAAAAAAAAAUAAAAUUUGGGGGGAGGGAGGGAAGGGGGGGGCGGGGGGCGGGGGGGCACCCGGGGGGUCGGGGAAGGGGGAAGGGGGGGGGGACCGCCGGCGGGGAGGC
rnacentral:rRNA from 1 species